UAAAGCGUGCGCAGGCGGUUAUGUAAGACAGAUGUGAAAUCCCCGGGCUCAACCUGGGAACUGCAUUAGUGACUGCAUAGCUGGAGUACGGCAGAGGGGGAUGGAAUUCCGCGUGUAGCAGUGAAAUGCGUAGAUAUGCGGAGGAACACCGAUGGCGAAGGCAAUCCCCUGGGCCUGUACUGACGCUCAUGCACGAAAGCGUGGGGAGCAAACAGGAUUAGAUACCGGGU
rnacentral:rRNA from 1 species